UACGUAGGGUGCAAGCGUUGUCCGGAAUCAUUGGGCGUAAAGCGCGCGUAGGUGGCCAUUUAAGUCCGCUGUGAAAGUCAAAGGCUCAACCUUUGAAAGCCGAUGGAUACUGCAGGGCUAGAGUCCGGAAGAGGCGAGUGGAAUUCCUGGUGUAGCGGUGGAAUGCGCAGAUAUCAGGAGGAACACCAAUAGCGAAGGCAGCUCGCUGGGACGGUACUGACGCUAAGGCGCGAAAGCGUGGGGAGCGAACGAGG
rnacentral:rRNA from 1 species